CAAGCUGAAAGGUCACCUCACGCACAGGAAGGAGCAUCGAUAAUAACCUUUGAUUCGUUCAGAGUCUGAGCAGCACAGAUGUGGAAACGGACAGUUGUAGUUGUUGUAUUGGGGAAUAAGAGUUACUUUGAUGUGCAAAGGGGGAAAAAACCAAGACAGUGUGAUUUCUGUGCUGACUCGGGCAGGGAGGGCGAGCAGCGACGACAGACACAGCUUUGUUUGAUGCAUGGCUGUUGUCUUCCUAUAGGAGAAUCCUGGGGACAAAGCAGGGUGAGCACCGCCCCUCGUUACACCGAUUCAUCAGCUCCUAUUCCUGGGCCGAUGCGGAGGAGAAGUGUGACGUCAUCAAAACCAGAGACGCCCCGGAGCCCCCAGGAGAGGAGGCGGCAGAGAGGACCAGGAAGCCUAGCCUUUCUGAGAGGAGAGGCAGCCUCUCGGCCUGGGACAGCAGCACAAUCUACAGCUCAGUGGCCUCCUGGGUCACUCACCUGCGGGCGUCCUUCAGAAGGGCCAACAGAGCGCUGUGGCUCUCUGGGCUCUUCCUCGUACUGUUCGCCGGGUUGAUGAGCGUCCUCGCGGGUCAGCUCUUCCAGUCCGCCGUGGAGGCCGCGCCCACGCAGGAAGGGGACUCCUGGAUGUCUCUGGAACACAUCUUCUGGCCAUUGACCAGACUUGGGCACGAUGGACCGCCACCAGUGUGACUGCCACAC
rnacentral:lncRNA from 1 species